CAACAGGUUCUGAAAAGAUUUCUUCCAUCUCGGAUCGAUCACCCGCUAACAUGUCUGAAGGAGAUCAUAGAACAGCAGAAGGAGGAAAAGAAAGAUCCUCAUCUACUGAAAGGGGCAAGUCCAGAGAAAGACCAAGCAGUGCUGGAGGGAAAACACACAGAGCUGAAAGAGAGCAGGAUCGCACCAUUGCUAAAGAUCGUGAGCGAGACAGACCUUCUCGAUCUGACAGAGCCUGAGACAGGGGAUCAGGGUCCACAGUGACAGCUGUGCAAAAGUUAGCUGACACAGCAGACAGAGAAACUGAGAGAGAAAAGUCACGGACUGAGCUUAAGACCUCCACAGGCCAGAGUGAAUCAGCAAGGUCUGUGUGUCUGGAUAGAAUGACCAUUGCAGAGAAAUCCAAAAUUUCAAAGAAACAGGACAACCAUCACGAGAAACAAAAAACCUCCUCAAAAUACAGAGGCAAGGGCACUGAGAGGUCUGCUAAGUUUGACAGGUGAGUCUCCUGCAGUCUAAAGUCUUCUUCAUAUCUGUAAUUAAUGUUAUUGUGUCAAUCAAACAAAAAUGCUUUCAACUGUAAUUGUUUUUCUGUCCCAUGUGUGUGUCCAGGAACAGAACGGAGAGAAGUGUGUCCUCAGGAGAGAAAUCUGCUUCUGCUCACAGAGAAGAAGAUCAACUCAAAAAACAAAGCCAGACUUAGAAAAAGACCAGGGCAAUGUUUCCUCCAUCACUGCAGAGCAGCCCUCAUCCAGCCCAGUCACUAGGCUCGUCUGCAACCAGAGAGUCAGUGCAGCUCCUAGUGAAGUGCGAGAGGAGGCCCUCAACCAACCACCACCCCGCUCCAAGUGGGAAAGAGAAGACGAUGAAGAUGGUUUGGAAGAUGAACCGUGUGCACCUAAAGAAGCAUUUCCAGUUGUCCCACAGACCAUUGUUAAAGAAGCACUGCUGGAAACACAGAAACCAAUGAAGAGCGAAAGCCGUGAAACUCCAAAGGAUGAACGGAGAGGAACAACAAAGGAGGAAAUAAAGGCGAGAGCGCCACGGGAAGAAAGUAAGACUGGCAGAACAACACAGGCCAACUCGGACAAAACAACCAAGACAAAAACUGGAAAGGAGAGAAAAGCCGUCAAAGAAGAAGGGCGAGCUUCUGCAAGAGAAAAUGAGAGAAAAGGUGGAGGAAGAGAAGACAACCGAGGAGCUGCAGGAAAAGAGGAGAGGAUUGCAGAAAGCCGUAGUGGAGGUGAACGAGAGGAAGUUCGAGGGCCCGAGCCCAGAAGACAACGGCUGGCCUCGGACCUCGGCCGCGAGACAGAUGAAGCAGCCUUUGUGCCCGACUACAGUGAGGGAGAGGGUUCAGAACAGGAAAGAGGAGGAAGCAACAGCCUGACGCCCACCCUGAGCCGUGCCACCCACAGCCCCACAUUAAGCAACCACAGCGGCUCCGCCAACACCACAGCAGAGAAGAAGAAAAGACACAAGAAACACAAAAAGCACAAAAAACACAGCAGUCAGGACAAAGAGGCCCCACACAAGGAGCACAAGCAGAAACACAAGAAGAAGAAGAGCAAAAAGAGCAAAGACAAGGACGUGGAUGAGGAAAAUAUAAAGGGGAAAGCUGAGAAAGAGACGCCUUGCUAACAUAGCUUAGCUCAGGCUAAAAUCCACCCAAUGAUUUUGCUGGAUCACACCCAGGGAUAGGAAAGGUUCCUCAAAGUUGGAGCAGAUAAUUUGAGAAUUGAUGCUACACUGGAUUGUAAUAUUCAGUGUUCUUAAUUCAAUUUGCCUCUUUUUAGAGUGUACUUGCUGUAAAGAAGUUUUGUUGUUUUUUUUUGGUGUUUUCUUAGUGUAAUGAAAAUAACUUGUAUUUCAGUCUAAUAUUAGAUGCUAAUGGAGGAAUAAUAAAGGAGUAAUGUUGGAAUAAUCA
rnacentral:lncRNA from 1 species